rnacentral:rRNA from 1 species
GACGAACGCUGGCGGCGUGCUUAACACAUGCAAGUCGAACGGAAAGGCCCUGCUUUUGUGGGGUGCUCGAGUGGCGAACGGGUGAGUAACACGUGAGUAACCUGCCCUUGACUUUGGGAUAACUUCAGGAAACUGGGGCUAAUACCGGAUAGGAGCUCCUGCUGCAUGGUGGGGGUUGGAAAGUUUCGGCGGUUGGGGAUGGACUCGCGGCUUAUCAGCUUGUUGGUGGGGUAGUGGCUUACCAAGGCUUUGACGGGUAGCCGGCCUGAGAGGGUGACCGGCCACAAUGGGACUGAGGUACGGCCCAGACUCCUACGGGAGGCAGCAGUGGGGAAUAUGGCACAAUGGGCGGAAGCCUGAUGCAGCAACGCCGCGUGCGGGAUGACGGCCUUCGGGUUGUAAACCGCUUUCGCCUGUGACGAAGCGUGAGUGACGGUAAUGGGUAAAGAAGCACCGGCUAACUACGUG